GGGUGCCUUUAGGAUUUGGUUCUUCAUUUUCUAUAGAUGGUCUAGCUUCAGAUAAAUUUCUUUUAGUCUGAUCGGUACUAGAUAAAGGCCACAGUAAUUUGAUUUUGUAUUUCAACAUUUACUGUGAAUUUAAAGCAAAAGAAAAGGCAAAAACUUAUAUGACUACAGUAACAGAUUGUUCUAGAUAACUUCAGUUUUCUCAGUUGCUUCAUAAGAAAAUUUACUUUUAUUUAUUGGGAAGUGAAUUGUUAAAGAUAGCAGUUAACAAAACUUUAUUAGCUGUAAUUAACAGAAUUUCUGCAAAUUCAUCAUUUUAUCUUUUUGCUAUACUUUUGAAUUUUUAACAUAUAAAUUUGAAAACACAUUGAGUUUUUAUUGUCAUUGAAAAUUGCAGGACUAUGAUGGUAAAAUCAGUAAGCUUUCUUAAAAUUUUAUUCAAUAUAUUUCCCUCCUUUUAAAAUAACAGUCUAAGCAUUCUACUCUUUGUUACAUUAAGGUAUAAGAAAUUUACAAAUUGUAAAAUCUGUUCUCAGAGGACUACUGUAUGCUACAAAUCUUGUGUUAUUUGACUUAUGCAAUGUUCAUGAAAAAUGUUAAAAAUUCUAGCAAAAAUUGUUUUCAUUUCUGGAUAACUUUUUCUAGAAGAUAAAAUAGAAGAAAACAAUAAAUUGAUUAAGAGUAAUUUGCUUACACUGAUAUUUAAUCAACAUAUAUCUUGUAGACAUCAAAUUCUAAUUUACUUUCUUGGUAAACAUAAAUAAUUUUUCGUUUCUGAAAGGUAAACUUAAAAAUUUGUAAUUGAAAGCUAUCUGUAAUUGAUAUUUUUUAGAACAUGUUCACUAGUAUAUAGGAACUAUAUUUCAUAAUGUUCAUAAUAUAUAUGUAUAUAUAUAUAAUGAAAUACAUUUAUGAAUAUGCAAUUUUUGGUUUCCAGUGUUGCAGGCCAAUAGUUGAGGGGAAAAAACCCAAUCCAAACUAAGGCAAGCCAUCAGAAUAAAGAUAGGAGGAUGUUUGUGUGUUUGUUUGUUUUACUGUUAUUCCAACUUGUCUCAAGUGUUAAGAGCAGUCAUAGAAUGAUGUGUGUUAUGGGGUCAGUGAUCUCUGGUACCUUCUCUUAAGGAAUCUGAAUGCCCAUGAGUGUAUAUGCGUGCAUGUGGUUGCCUUGGUUACAUUUCUUUUGUGGCUGGGACAAAACAACUUGACACCAAAAACUGAAGGAAAGAAAAGUUUAUUUAACUCAGUGUUUGUGGAGGUUUCAAUCUAUAAUCAGCUGGCCCUGAGGCAGGAUGGCAUGGCACAGGGGCAGCACUUCAAGGCAGCAGCCAACAAAAGCAGCCAGAGGAAAAGGGAAGAAACAAGCCUCUUCUCCUCCCUUAUAUUGUACACAGGCUACCCUACCCCUGUCCCCAAUGCAAAUAUAGCACCCACAAAAUCUCUGUGCCCUCCUCUUGCACAGACUGAGGAUAUUUACAGAGUAAGGAUCCUGACUUCCUGCUGAAUAUCUUACUAAACUUCUCAAGUUGACACAAUGUAUCAACCAUAACAGCGGUAUUAUUGAAGGUUUUAAAGUUUUAUGGUAUGUCAAUGUUACAGAGUUGAAGCCAUUUUGAUACCAGUUACUGAAUGUAAAUUGGGAUGAUACUUUGAUGUGUAGUGCCUGGCACAUACUGAGAAGUGAGUUACAUCCGUCACUUUCUUUUAAAAGUUAUUUUUUACUUAAAAGUAAUUUUAUAAUUUUAAAAUAAAAAAUCUUUAGGUGACUUAUCCCAGUGUUCCGUGGGUCAUUUUUAUGAGCUCAGAAUUCUUCUUGAUGUUAGCUAGACUUUUGUAUAGUGUAUUUAUGAUAGUGGAAUAAAGAUUUUUUUUCCUAUGGUAGUUUUACUAUAAUAAAAUAUCUUGAAAAAAAAAAAACAAAUGGACUGUUAAAUGUAUUUAUCCAAAAAUAAUUAGUGUUUCUAUAACAGUUGUUCCAAUGCAUCAACUCUCUUUGUUAUUCUGUACAGUCAGAAAUAAUUGUUAUAAAUUCUAAACUUUAAUAUUUUUGAAAACCCAGAGAAAGAGUCAUUUUUCUGUUUUCCUCCUAAGUGAGGAGACCUGACAUAUUGUUGGCUUUCUAAGGUGUACAUUUUUAAUUUAGAGAACCAGAAAGAAUGUAUCAUUAAAAAGAAAAUUAAUAUUAGUGAGUUGAUUUUUUUUCCCUCUAGAAUGUUAUUACUUAACAUUUUGUUAAAAAUAACAUGCAGUGAAACACAUUGGUUCUGUGUUGAUAUUUCUUUGUCAUGCUUAGUUCUGUGUCACAUUCAUCUGUUACUUAGAAUACUUGGUUGCUCUCUAGUGCCUUUUGUACAGUUAACUUAAAAUAUUCCUUUUCAGUAUUCCUAUUAUAAUGAGUUUGUAGAUCUUGAUGUUCCUUUGCAGGUAGCAAUGUAACAAAAUGUAGUUGACCAAAUACAUGCUGGCUCACCAUUCUUUGACAGUGGUUAACUAUUCUCUGAUUUCC